ACAGUAAUACAUUUCAUUCUUCCAGGCUGAGGUCCUGAGGAAAUUUGGGCAGUGCCAGAAAAUUAAAUAGAAUACUAAUCUUAUGCGGCACAUCUUGUGGAUCUGUUUUCUCUGGAAUUAUACAGGGUUAAGAAGCUCAGUGAACCUGGCUGACACCUGACCAGAGGACCAAUAAGGGGACAAGAUACUUUCAAAUCUAGUGGAGAGAAGUCUUUGUUUGUGCUUUUUGUUUGGUUCGUUGUUCGCUCUCGGGACUGAGAGGAAUGGGACAUCAUUCCAGGUUCUCCAAAUCUUUCUGAAUCAGUCUCUCAUGUUUCAAAAUAAUCGUCCUGUGGGUCCCCAGGCCUCCAAGUCACAAAGCAUGGAUAGACCUGUGCAUGCAUAUGGAGCCUCACUGAUUGAAUGGGGUGGUGUGCAAACGUGGAGAUCUGCCGACAUGCUUCAACAUGUCUGAUUUGGGCCUUUUAUCAGUUUCUUCCUUGAUGGAU